rnacentral:rRNA from 1 species
AAACCAACAGGGAUUGCCCCAGUAACGGCGAGUGAAGCGGCAACAGCUCAAAUUUGAAAUCUGGCCCCCAGGGCCCGAGUUGUAAUUUGCAGAGGAUGCUUUUGGCGCGGUGCCUUCCGAGUUCCCUGGAACGGGACGCCAUAGAGGGUGAGAGCCCCGUCUGGUCGGACACCAAGCCAGUGUAAAGCUCCUUCGACGAGUCGAGUAGUUUGGGAAUGCUGCUCUAAAUGGGAGGUAUAUGUCUUCUAAAGCUAAAUACCGGCCAGAGACCGAUAGCGCACAAGUAGAGUGAUCGAAAGAUGAAAAGCACUUUGAAAAGAGGGUUAAAAAGUACGUGAAAUUGUUGAAAGGGAAGCGUUUAUGACCAGACUUGGGCCCGGCGAAUCAUCCAGCGUUCUCGCUGGUGCACUUCGCCGGGCUCAGGCCAGCAUCAGUUCGCCGCGGGGGACAAAAGCUUCGGGAACGUGGCUCCCUCGGGAGUGUUAUAGCCCGUUGCACAAUACCCUGCGGUGGACUGAGGUUCGCGCUCCGCAAGGAUGCUGGCGUAAUGGUCAUCAGCGAC